AAUCUUCGACUUACUCUGUUGAUCGCCGACGACACGAAAGGUCGCGUCACUAUAACACCACGACGCUGCUCUCUCACCACUCGACUGCCAUCCAAAUACGCUCCGACACUGGUGGAAAACCACGGGGAUACGUGCGAUCGUUCUCCUCUCACAAUCAGCACAGUUCCAUCGUCGUCGAACUUGUUCGUCGUCUUCACACGCGCUCGCGAGACUCGAGCCUCCCGCGGCGAGUCGAGUCGUGUCGUUCACUCGGCUCCGAAACUGAACGAUGUCGUACGAAAGAUGUGUCACGAUAAAAAAGAAAAAAAAAAAAAAAAGAAAAAACAAAAGGAAACGUUGCCGCGAGAAAUCUGUUAAUCUCGAUUGCACGUGGAUCGGGAAAAGUCCGAUCGACUUUGAUCGACGAUAAGAAAAAUCCCAAAUAGACGAGGAGAGACGGGUCACUGAUUGACGAGAAACAGGAGAAAAAAAAACGACUUUGUACUUUGUCGUUCGUAUAUAUUGUCGAUCGACGAUAUCUCCCGAUUAACGAUCGUCCCUACGACGACACUAACGACGGUCGACGUCGAGACGUAUGUGCGUAGGUAGAGACGCGAUGGCAAUAAUUGUCCUACGUAUGUUGGACGUAUGUUGUUCGUCGAAGAAGAAGAAACGCGAAGAGAGUCGCGCACGGGGACGCGCACGUUUCGUCGUGUUUCUCGCGAGGCAAAUGUAACAACGUCGCGAUGCGAGGCUGGUGUGUGUUGUCAGCUCGCGUCAGGCAGCGCGGUUCGAAUGGAGACGCGGCACGUGUGCCGCUGCCUGGUGCUCGUCGACGAUCGGCCGCCGCCACCACCACCAGCUGAUCAUCCGGGAGUGUGGACUGCUCUCUGCCACUGACUCUCUGUGUGGUGUGGCCUGUGCUGACUGACUAACUGCACGGGCGAACAGUUUCUCCGGCAGAGGCUGCCAGAGCGGCAGGAACGGCGGUUCGAAUUGCGCCUGCUGGCCCGUGCCUGAGAAAACUCGUGGGGGCGCGGGAGGGGCGGGUUGGGGGUGGGAGGAACACGACGGCGGGGAAACGACGACGACGACGACGACGAUGACGACGACGAUGACGACGACGACGGCGAGGGCGAGUUUUCACCGGCGGGCUUCUUGACACGUUCCGCUGAAAGAUGCGUGUGUACGAGGCCGUGCAUCAUAAGGAACGCAAACGCGAGAAAGAGAGGCAUGGGCGCUUAAAUAAUUCAUUAGUCGACGAGCAGAGAUUUGCAUUGUGGCGAGGAGGUACACUAGCGGAUCGGUGGACGAAGGAGCAAGCAAAUGAAUUAAGCACUCGAGCUCGCUCCGGGGAGAGAAAGAAUGUCGGAUGGCAGACGAAACGUGUACAAAAGAUACGUACUUUACGCUGUACAAAGGUAUUUCAUAUAUU